rnacentral:rRNA from 1 species
UGCACCACCUGAUUAGUGGCGAACGGGUGAGUAACACGUGAGUAACCUGCCCCCCACUUCGGGAUAACCUCGGGAAAUCGUGGCUAAUACCGGAUACGAGCACUCAUCGCAUGGUGGGUGCUGGAAAGAUUUAUCGGUGGGGGAUGGACUCGCGGCCUAUCAGUUUGUUGGUGAGGUGAUGGCUCACCAAGACGAUGACGGGUAGCCGGCCUGAGAGGGCGACCGGCCACACUGGGACUGAGACACGGCCCAGACUCCUACGGGAGGCAGCAGUGGGGAAUAUUGCACAAUGGGCGAAAGCCUGAUGCAGCGACGCCGCGUGGGGGAUGACGGCCUUCGGGUUGUAAACCCCUUUCAGUAGGGAAGAAGCGAGAGUGACGGUACCUGCAGAAGAAGCGCCGGCUAACUACGUGCCAGCAGCCGCGGUAAUACGUAGGGCGCAAGCGUUGUCCGGAAUUAUUGGGCGUAAAGAGCUUGUAGGUGGCUUGUCGCGUCUGCCGUGAAAACCCGAGGCUCAACCUCGGGCGUGCGGUGGGUACGGGCAGGCUAGAGUGUGGUAGGGGAGACUGGAACUCCUGGUGUAGCGGUGAAAUGCGCAGAUAUCAGGAAGAACACCGAUGGCGAAGGCAGGUCUCUGGGCCAUUACUGACA